rnacentral:misc_RNA from 1 species
GAAAUGCGAUAAGUAAUGUGAAUUGCAGAAUUCAGUGAAUCAUCGAAUCUUUGAACGCACCUUGCGCUCCUUGGUAUUCCUUGGAGCAUGCCUGUUUGAGUAUCAUGAAAUCUUCAAAGUAAAUCUUUUGUUAACUCAAUUGGUUUCUACUUUGGUAUUGGAGGUCUUUGCAGCUUCACACCUGCCCCUCUUUGUUCAUUAGCUGGAUCUCAGUGUUAUGCUUGGUUCCACUCGGCGUGAUAAGUUAUCUAUCGCUGAGGACACUGUAAAGGGUGGCCAAGGUAAAUGCAGAUGAACCGCUUCUAAUAGUCCAUUGACUUGGACAAUACUUUUAUGAUCUGAUCUCAAAUCAGGUAGGACUACCCGCUGAACUUAAGC